rnacentral:rRNA from 1 species
CGCCUCUUGAACUAAUAUAAGAGGUCCAGCCUGCCCAGUGACCAUGUUUAACGGCCGCGGUAUCCUAACCGUGCGAAGGUAGCGUAAUCACUUGUUCUUUAAAUGAGGACUAGUAUGAACGGCAUCACGAGGGUUAUACUGUCUCCUUUUUCCAAUCAGUGAACCUAAUCUCCCCGUGAAGAAGCGGGAAUAAAAUUAUAAGACGAGAAGACCCUAUGGAGCUUAAAACAACACAGCACCUGCUAAAAAUCAAACAAUUUCAGAAUUUUUCAUUUUCUAAGCACUAUGACUACAAGUUUUUGGUUGGGGUGACCACGGAGCAUAAUAUAACCUCCAUGUUGAAAGAAUAUUUUUCUAAGCCAAAAAUUACACUUUUAAGCAUCAAUAAAUUGACAUCUAUUGACCCAAUAUAUUUGAACAACGAACCAAGUUACCCUAGGGAUAACAGCGCAAUCCACUUCAAGAGCUCCUAUCGACAAGUGGGUUUACGACCUCGAUGUUGGAUCAGGGUUUCCCAGUGGUGCAGCCGCUACUAAAGGUUCGUUUGUUCAACGAUUAAAACCCU